UAGGGAAUUUUGCGCAAUGGGGGAAACCCUGACGCAGCAACACCGCGUGAAUGUUAAGCCCUUCGGGGUGUAAAGUUCUGUCAAUAGGGACGAAUUUUGACUGUACCUAUAAAGGAAGCACCGGCUAACUCCGUGCCAGCAGCCGCGGUAAUACGGGGGGUGCAAGCGUUGUCCGGAAUCAUUGGGCGUAAAGCGUUCGUAGGCGGUAUGUCAAGUCUGAUGUUAAAGCCCGGGGCUCAACUCCGGUUCGGCAUUGGAUACUGGCAAACUAGAAUGUGGUAGAGGUAAAGGGAAUUCCUGGUGUAGCGGUGAAAUGCGUAGAUAUCAGGAGGAACAUCGGUGGCGAAAGCGCUUUACUGGACCAUUAUUGACGCUGAGGAACGAAAGCCAGGGGAGCAAAUGGG
rnacentral:rRNA from 1 species